rnacentral:misc_RNA from 1 species
UCCUACUUGACGCAGGCAGUCUCGUUAGAGUGCCCCACUUAAGGCUGGCAACUAACGACAGAGGUUGCGCUCGUUGCGGGACUUAACCCAACAUCUCACGACACGAGCUGACGACAGCCAUGCAGCACCUGUGCUAGUGUCCCGAAGGAGGCCCGAUGUUUCCACCGGCUUUACCCUGCAUGUCAAGCCCAGGUAAGGUUCUUCGCGUCGCAUCGAAUUAAGCCACAUGCUCCACCGCUUGUGCGGGCCCCCGUCAAUUCCUUUGAGUUUCAUUCUUGCGAACGUACUCCCCAGGUGGGAUACUUAUCACUUUCGCUUAGCCACUGAGAUUGCUCCCAACAGCUAGUAUCCAUCGUUUACGGCGUGGACUAC